GAUAAUGAGUGUAAUUCAAAGCGUGGGAGAAGAAGGGAGAGGGAGAAAGGAAAAUAGGAUGAAACUCACUGAUGGCUGUAUGGGUGCCUCUCCUCUCCAAAUUCACUCUUAACGGACUGCUCUGUGAAAAUACGCUGGGGCCAUUUAAAUCUGGGUCUUUGCCGGCUGGCUCACUCUUAAGCUUGCCAGCAGAGGGCGCAGAGGAGCCAGGGCAGAAGGAAGUUUUCUUUCCACCUUCUGAAGGUCUCACUAGACCGUCUCCUGAAGCUUCUCCAGGACCCGUGGCUCCUCAAGCAUGAAGCAUCCAGGGCACCCAUGGCUCUGCUGGCACCAGCCUCCUCUAGCGCCCGACAGCCAGCCGUUAGCAGCUUCCCAGCACCUCCCCUUGGACUGUUUUGGCGCAAAGUAUCUCCACUGAGACACCUGCCCAUCGACAGCCUUCUGUGGCACCCUACAGAAUGGUUUUCCAGCAAGUUGCACCUGCACCACAGUUGACUUCGCUAACACCCUGUGAGCCACAGUCAUGCUCUGUCCAACCAGAUCUGGAUCUCAGACCUAUGCGUGGGAAGAGAGAGCUAAAGAGUGCCAGCGGGGGAAGGGCAGAGAGAGGAGGGGACAGAGGAUCCGAAGCAGGCUCCACGUUGUCAGCACAGAGCCCGCUGCAGGGCUCGAACUCCCAAACUAUGAGAUCCUGACCUGAGCCGAAGUUGGACGCUUAACUGACUGAGACACCCAGGCACC